rnacentral:rRNA from 1 species
UACGAAGGGGGCUAGCGUUGCUCGGAAUCACUGGGCGUAAAGGGUGCGUAGGCGGGUUUUUAAGUCAGGGGUGAAAUCCUGGAGCUCAACUCCAGAACUGCCUUUGAUACUGAAGAUCUUGAGUUCGGGAGAGGUGAGUGGAACUGCGAGUGUAGAGGUGAAAUUCGUAGACAUUCGCAAGAACACCAGUGGCGAAGGCGGCUCACUGGCCCGAUACUGACGCUGAGGCACGAAAGCGUGGGGAGCAAACAGG